UAAACAUAGACAGUACACAUACCCCACUGUCCGCCCGGGAACUACGAGCAUCAGCUUAAAACCCAAAGGACUUGGCGGUGCUUUAAACCCACCUAGAGGAGCCUGUUCUAGAACCGAUAAUCCCCGUUCAACCUCACCCUUCCUUGUUCUUUCCGCCUAUAUACCACCGUCGUCAGUUUACCCUGUGAAGGUCAAAUAGUAAGCACAAUCGGCACAGCCCAAAACGUCAGGUCGAGGUGUAGCGUAUGGAAGGGGAAGAAAUGGGCUACAUUCCCUAACACUAGGGCAUACGGAUUGUAUGCUGAAACGCAUACCUGAAGGAGGAUUUAGCAGUAAGCAGGAAGUAGAGUGUUCUGCUGAAGCCGGC
rnacentral:rRNA from 1 species